CAGAAAGACAUAACAAAACAAAAUUAGUAAAUAGCAUUUGUAGCAAAGAAAAAAAACCCAAGAAAGAUGUUUAUGAUGCCGACUUUAUAUAUACUCAACAGAAAACUUUCGUAUUAGAUCUGUGUAAGGUAAUUUUAUAUCCAAAUCUUUACUAUUCUGAUAUAUUUUACUUAACUGAUACCAAAGUGUCUUAAAAAGACUCCCUUACUUGACAUAAAACUUAAAAUCCCUCGAUUGUUGGUCCAAGAAACUUCAUCAUAUACUACGAUUUCAACAAACGCUUUCGUAUUCUAAAUAAUCCAUCUCCAAGCCGAAAGAUCAUUAAUCCUAUAAGACUUUGCACAAGUAUUUUCUUCUUCCUAUGUAUCUUGAUUGUAAUGAAGGCUUUUGUGUUCAUGCUCUUUGUCUAAAUCACAACCAAACGUUACUGGCAGAGGGACAUGAUUAUGUCGAUUUACAAAAGACGACUUUUUACAUUAUAAUAGAAGUACAAAAAGUAAAGCAUUAUAUAUAAUUUAGUUAAAG
rnacentral:lncRNA from 1 species